AUACGGAGGGUGCAAGCGUUAUCCGGAUUCAUUGGGUUUAAAGGGUGCGCAGGCGGAAUGAUAAGUCAGUGGUGAAAUCCUACAGCUUAACUGUAGAACUGCCAUUGAUACUGUCAUUCUUGAGUACACUUGAAGUGGGCGGAAUGUAUCAUGUAGCGGUGAAAUGCAUAGAUAUGAUACAGAACUCCGAUAGCGAAGGCAGCUCACUAAAUUGUAACUGACGCUCAGGCACGAAAGCGUGGGGAGCAAACAGGAUUAGAAACCCGGGUAGUCC
rnacentral:rRNA from 1 species